UCCUGUUUUUUCUUCUGUUAGUCGGUUGGAGCCGAGGGCACAUUCAGGAAACAAUAACAACAACAAUAAUGAGUCAGACAGAGGAGUGUUCGUCAGGUCAUGAGAUGUUAAAGUUUUGUUCACAGCCCCCUACAGUUAUAAUAAUGGAUCAGUCCUUUGAGACAGUUUCCUCUCCAGUAUUGUCAGGUGUCAGGAAACUGGGACACCCUGUGGACGGCAAGUAAACUGCAUCGAUCGAAACGUCACGAGACAAACAGCCGCUACAGCUCUAAGAAGAAUAGAUUAUACAAUAACCAGAACCAGCAAAGGUGCUCUAAUGGCUUAAAUUAUUAUUUUUAUGGCUGUUUAUUUCUAACAUGGCAGAUGCGGAGCUGCGGGUUUUAAACUUUGAAGUAAUCGUUAGUAUGUUCAGGUCUCUCCUCCACAGUCUGGUGGAGAAAUCCUUUUAAGCCAUCAAUGGACAGUUACGUUUUCCAAGCGGGUCACGUGGGAAACCGUGACUGUUGUGGAGCUAAACUCAGUUCUGCUCAAUGGUACUUUUAUCUCUUUAUAAACUGACGCUGGUGUUACAAUCAGUCUGUGAAAACAGGAAACGGGUGCAGUAAAAAAAAACCAACAUGUUAAGAUUAUUUAAGCUAAACUGCCAGAAAAGUGAGCCCUGCCACAGGCUGGCGACUAUUCCAGGUGUACCUCACCUCUCACCCUAUGGUAGCUGUGAUUGGCUCCAGCCCCCCGCCCAAUCCCACGACCUGGAAUUAGAUAAGUGAAAGAGAAUGGGUGGAUGUAUGCCAGGAAAAAAACCAAAAACGAUAUGUGCUGUUGUUACUGUGUUUGUAGUUUGAAGACUUCAUCUGCAGUUUGCAGUUCUCUCACUGAAGAAAAAGAACUGAUCAUCUGUUUACGGCUUCAUAUGCAUGUUACUUGAGAGUUGUCUGCCAUAUUAAAUGUGAUACAACCAAAAAUCACUUGUGGAAAACCCACUCUACUGUGGCAACCAUGUCCAGUGUCUAUGAUCAAGAUCAGCGGUCCCCGUUUACAGGAAAACUGAAACUUUUUAAAACUCUGACUUUAAAUUUAACGUACUUGUUACUUUUAAAAA